rnacentral:pre_miRNA from 1 species
CCCUGGCUCCCCCUCUCUAAUCCUUGCUACUUGGGUGAGAGUGCUUUCUGAAUGCAAUGCACCUGGGCAAGGAUUCUGAGAGGGGCAGCA